rnacentral:rRNA from 1 species
UACAGAGGUCCCGAGCGUUGUUCGGAUUUAUUGGGCGUAAAGGGUGCGUAGGCGGCGGAGUAAGUUGGGUGUGAAAUCCCGAGGCUCAACCUCGGAAUGGCAUUCAAUACUGCUUCGCUCGAGUACUGGAGAGGAGGCUGGAAUUUACGGUGUAGCAGUGAAAUGCGUAGAUAUCGUAAGGAAGGCCGGUGGCGAAAGCGAGCCUCUGGACAGUUACUGACGCUGAGGUGCGAAAGCGUGGGGAGCAAACAGG